GUUUAAGCGUUAUUACCCCCACUUUAAAGAGAACGAAACAGAGGCAGGAUGGGGAAGCCUCUUGUUAAGGAGUCCACACUCAGUACACUGCAAAGCAGGUACCCUGAGUGCCGGCUCCUCCAUCCAAACCCAAUGGCUAGACUUUCCCAUGUGUAGACUACAGCUGGAAAGGAUCUUGGAGGACACAUUUUAGGUCAACCUUCUCGGUGCGAAGACCCCCGACAGGCGAAGCGAUCUGCCCAGGGGUAGGCGGCGAGCGCGUGACAGGCUGCGAGGGGAACCUGAGACGCCCCAGUUUCUCCCUUCCCUUGCUGGCCUCUUGCUCACCCGCAGGGUGCGGGGGAGGCUGGAGGAGGAGCUGAGCAGAAUUGCGGCGGCGGCCGGGGGCCGGGGCUUUUGGGGCGGUCCCUGGCGGCCGCUUGUCCCAGAGCCCUUGGAGGGGAGCGCGCGCGUGCUGGCCUCUCCUGCGCGCUCCCGCCUCCCCGGGGCUCCGAGGAACCCGGGCACGUUCCGGACGGAGACUGCAGAGCUGGGGGUUGCUUCCCGCUGCCAGAGGCCGUGCCGUCCCUGGGACGUGGAGAAGCGCUCGAGCCGUCUCCGCCCCAGGAACUUUCCGCAGACUCAGCGCGAUCUGUCUGCGGAGGGAACCCCAGGUUUUAAAGGCAGUUCUACGAAACCGAGGCAGGCAGCAGGGGCCCCCCCUUUCCUUCGCCAGUUGGACCUAGUGGCGUACCUGAUAGAUGUGAUGAAUUUUCCACUUUUGGAGAAGGUAUAAUGAUCUUGAUAAUGGAUACAAAUAAUCUUUUUGGGGUUAUUAACUUUUCCAUUGAAUUGCCUAAAUUGCUUAAACUCUCUGGUCUAAA
rnacentral:lncRNA from 1 species